rnacentral:rRNA from 1 species
GAAUUCGCCCUUAGAGUUUGAUCCUGGCUCAGGAUGAACGCUGGCGGCGUGCCUAACACAUGCAAGUCGAACGAAGCUUGACGGUGGAACUCUUCGGAGGGAAACCUGAUAUGACUUAGUGGCGGACGGGUGAGUAACACGUGAGCAACCUGCCUUUCAGAGGGGGACAACGACUGGAAACGGUCGCUAAUACCGCAUGAUAUGUUCGGAUGGCAUCAUCUGAACAUCAAAGAUUUAUCGCUGAAAGAUGGGCUCGCGUCUGAUUAGAUAGUUGGUGAGGUAACGGCUCACCAAGUCGACGAUCAGUAGCCGGACUGAGAGGUUGAACGGCCACAUUGGGACUGAGAUACGGCCCAGACUCCUACGGGAGGCAGCAGUGGGGAAUAUUGCACAAUGGGGGAAACCCUGAUGCAGCAACGCCGCGUGAAGGAAGACGGUUUUCGGAUUGUAAACUUCUUUUCUUUGUGAAGAAACAAAUGACGGUAGCAAAGGAAUAAGCAUCGGCUAACUACGUGCCAGCAGCCGCGGUAAUACGUAGGAUGCAAGCGUUAUCCGGAUUUACUGGGUGUAAAGGGAGAGCAGGCGGGACUUCAAGUUGGAUGUGAAAUGUCAAGGCUUAACCAUGGCACUGCAUCCAAAACUGUAGUUCUUGAGUGGAGUAGAGGUAAGCGGAAUUCCGAGUGUAGCGGUGAAAUGCGUAGAUAUUCGGAGGAACACCAGUGGCGAAGGCGGCUUACUGGGCUCUAACUGACGCUGAGGCUCGAAAGUGUGGGGAGCAAACAGGAUUAGAUACCCUGGUAGUCCACACUGUAAACGAUGAUAGCUAGGUGGUGGGGGGUCUGACCCCCUUCCGUGCCGGAG